AGGUGCCGUCUUUGAAUUUUCCACACUCUUGGCGCAUGCGCCUCAGCUCCUUGGAUAUCACCCUGACAUUGAGCCCCUGGUGCUGUGCUUGGGACUGAGGGUAAAUGACACAGUCAGUGUCCCCAACCCCACCGCAUGGCAAAACAAAUGCUGACACUUCUAAUUGCCUUUUGUCAGCCGGGGAAGUGUUGAAUAUUACCAGGAUUUCAGGCAAAAUGACUGGGUUUUUCAGCAACCCCAACUGGAAAAUCUCAAAGUUAUGUGAAGCCAAAAAAAAAAAAAACCAAUUAAUUUAGGGUUUUGAUCCUGGGGAAACCUGCCAAAGAUGUCAAAAGGUUAAAAACAUUUAAUUGAAACAGAA
ensembl:lncRNA novel transcript